rnacentral:rRNA from 1 species
GAUGAACGCUGGCGGCGUGCCUAAUACAUGCAAGUCGAGCGAAGCGGGGACGGGUGAGUAACAUGUGGAUAACCUCCUAUAAGAUUGGGAUAACUUAGGGAAACCGGAGCCAAACCGGAGAAUUAUAGAUGGAUCAGCGCUGCAUUGGCUAGUUGGUAAGUUAACGGCUUACCAAGGCAACGAUGCAUAGCCGACCUGAGAGGAGGAGCGGCCACACUGGAACUGAGACACGGUCCAGACUCCUACGGGAGGCAGCAGUAGGUAAUCUUCCGCCAUGGGCGAAAGCCUGACGGAGCAACGCCGCGUGCGUGAUGAAGGUCUUCGGAUCGUAAAACUCUGUUAUUAGGGAAGCGGUACCUAAUCAGAAAGCCACGGCUAACUACGUGCCAGCAGCCGCGGUAAUUC